GUGCCAGACUCCUACGGGAGGCAGCAGUGGGGAAUAUUGCACAAUGGGGGAAACCCUGAUGCAGCGACGCCGCGUGAGCGAUGAAGUAUUUCGGUAUGUAAAGCUCUAUCAGCAGGGAAGAAAAUGACGGUACCUGACUAAGAAGCCCCGGCUAACUACGCGCCAGCAGCCGCGGUAAUACGUAGGGGGCAAGCGUUAUCCGGAUUUACUGGGUGUAAAGGGAGCGUAGACGGCGGUGCAAGCCAGAUGUGAAAGCCCGGGGCCCAACCCCGGGACUGCCCUUGGAACUGCAUGGCUGGAGUGCGGGAGGGGCAGGCGGAAUUCCUGGUGUAGCGGUGAAAUGCGUAGAUAUCAGGAGGAACACCAGUGGCGAAGGCGGCUUACUGGACGGCAACUGACGCUGAGGCUCGAAAGCGUGGGGAGCAAACAGGAUUAGAUACCCCAGUAU
rnacentral:rRNA from 1 species